GUUUGAUCAUGGCUCAGAACGAACGCUGGCGGCAGGCUUAACACAUGCAAGUCGAGCGCACAGUUUACUGUGAGCGGCAGACGGGUGAGUAACGCGUGGGAAUCUACCUUGAGCUACGGGAUAACAGAGAGAAAUUUCUGCUAAUACCGUAUGUGGCCUUUGGGCGAAAGAUUUAUCGGCUUAAGAUGAGCCCGCGUUGGAUUAGCUGGUUGGUGGGGUAAAGGCCUACCAAGGCGACGAUCCAUAGCUGGUCUGAGAGGAUGAUCAGCCACACUGGGACUGAGACACGGCCCAGACUCCUACGGGAGGCAGCAGUGGGGAAUAUUGGACAAUGGGCGCAAGCCUGAUCCAGCCAUGCCGCGUGAGUGAAGAAGGCCUUAGGGUUGUAAAGCUCUUUCACCGGUGAAGAUAAUGACGGUAGCCGGAGAAGAAGCCCCGGCUAACUUCGUGCCAGCAGCCGCGGUAAUACGAAGGGGGCUAGCGUUGUUCGGAUUUACUGGGCGUAAAGCGCGCGAAGGCGGAUAGAUAAGUCAGAGGUGAAAUCCCGGGGCUCAACCCCGGAAUUGCCUUUGAUACUGUUUAUCUUGAGUGCAGAAGANG
rnacentral:rRNA from 2 species